GUUUUAGUAACAAUAAAGCUGUAGUUUAGAGUUGAGGAUUUCAGAAACAGACAAAACUGCAGAUGCAGAUACUCACUACUGGUGGGAUGGAGGAUUCUUGUAAAUAUUUGGGCAUUAACAGGACCUGUUCUCUGAUAUGUUGCAUGUUCUGGAUUUUCUCACCAGCAGAAGGAAACACCAUCUUACAAGUGAUUGGUACCAACGUGACCCUGCCCUGCAAGAAUGAGUCAAAAAGCACAUUGGUUCAGCUGACAUGGAAAAUUAACAAGGAUAUCCUGUUUAGUUACAAGCCACAGAGACCCUUAUA